AUGGCGAAGUGCAGUUGUUUUUCAGCCCACAUGAAUGUGUUCACCAGGUUGAUAAUUUUUCUGCUGGUGGCCUUCAUCGCCUUUAUGUACAGCAGGAACAUCUCUGCCUGCCUGCUCAUUGAAUACAAAGGAAAGGUAGCGGAUGAGAAUUAUUUGUGUGGUGAAGCACAACAAAGCCAUUUUGAGUGUCCUGCUCUGCAAACUUGGAUGGUGAUUUGAUGUGACUAACUCCUUUCAGCCAUAGAAAAAGAGUGACAGCCUGAUUGUAAUUUUAUUCCACUGAACAGAGGUUUUGAGAAAAAUUGUCUGUGUCUUUUUGGAUGAGCUUGACAGGAUCCUUGCUUAGGCGGCUGGAUCCUGCCCUGGUUGUGAAGGUCAGCUACAGUCAAGACAUAUAAAUCACCUUUGUGUGAGCUGAGUAUCCAAGCUGUCCCAGGAUCAGUUCAACAUGGUCUAUGGAGCCCAGACAGGCAUGCAGACAUUUGCUGUCUGCUUUUGGGGAUGAACUCAACCUUGCUUUGGGCUCCAGUUAUUCUGUCAAUGAGUGGGACUUGAUUCAGUUGCCUAAAUAUAAACAUAUCUUGCCAAAUCUGGUGCCCUAGAGUAUUAAGAUGCCUGUCAGCCUUGUAUAGAAGUCUUAUAGUACCUCUGCUUUGCUGGAGUUUGGUCAGAAAACCCAGCUCAUCUUAAACAAUACUGGAUAUCCACAUGUAAGCAACUGAACCAAGCCUUAUCUUUCCAUGGUCUGUAAUGGGAUCUUAGGCACCUAGCUCAUGUUACUCAUUUAGGUCACCGAUUCUAAGACUGAAUCCCUUCUAAUCUUUCCUUUCCUAGUGUCUACUUCUUGUUCCCCAGUAACUUAGCAAUGCUGUGGCUUGACUUGCUGCUCUUCAUGCAAAUUAUAGUAGGCUAAACUUGUGCACGUUCGUAUAAGUUAUGAGUUAGAUUUCAAAGGUAUGUAGAGCAAGGGCAGUCCAGUACACCCUUGCACAAGAGCUGGGCAGAGUUACCAGCUCUUGAAGCCAGAGUUUCAUGGUAGCAGAUGCAGCUGCUGCCCUAAAAUUUCCUCUCAUGUGGAUGUGGAGAGUAUUUCUGUCUGUCUCAGGCCUUUGAUUGCAGCUGGGGGAGGCCCAGGUGCAAUCAGUCUUCAGACCAGGACUUGUCCAAAGACUGACAUCCUAGCCCAAUUCAGUUUACUAAUAUACGAAGGCAAAUCUUA
rnacentral:lncRNA from 1 species